rnacentral:sRNA from 1 species
AGAGCACUGAGAAAUACUUUUUAAGGAGAGGUUUCUCAUCAGAGGUUAUAUAGUGAUGUUUGAAUGGGCCUGGCUGGCUGUUUGAAGCUGGAUCUUACAGGUUUUGACAACAAUUCGUUCAGGGCACCGAGCAAACAUAUUUAGUGCAAAGUUCUUACCUUGCACAAAUGAUAAACAGAUUGUAUCCUGCUCUGGAGAUGGAGUAAUAUUUUAUACCAACGUUGAGCAAGAUGCAGAAACCAACAGACAAUGCCAAUUUACGUGCCAUUAUGGAACUACUUAUGAGAUUAUGACUGUACCCAAUGACCCUUACACUUUUCUCUCUUGUGGUGAAGAUGGAACUGUUAGGUGGUUUGAUACACGCAUCAAAACUAGCUGCACAAAAGAAGAUUGUAAAGAUGAUAUUUUAAUUAACUGUCGACGUGCUGCCACGUCUGUUGCUAUUUGCCCACCAAUACCGUAUUACCUUGCUGUUGGUUGUUCUGACAGCUCAGUACGAAUAUAUGAUCGGCGAAUGCUGGGCACAAGAGCUACAG